rnacentral:misc_RNA from 1 species
GCAGGUCUGCACCGAAUUGAUGUAAUCGCGGUUGAGAGCAGUGAGGAUGUCGUGAUCCGAACUCAUGGCAGAACCUCCGUCUCCGGCUUCGCUUUCGGCCCGAUGGAUGUGAACACGUAGCGCCAUCCGAUCAGCAGGCUUCGCAGGGUAAGCCAUCCGAUGAUCAGAUUGGAGAGCACAAAAAUCGGCAGCGCCAGAUGGGCGAUGAUG